rnacentral:misc_RNA from 1 species
UUUCCGUAGGUGAACCUGCGGAAGGAUCAUUAUUGUAUAACCGAGGUGCGAGGGCUGUCGCUGACCCUACAGGUCCUGCACGCCCGAGUGCCCUCACACACAUCCAUCUCACCCCUAUGUGCACCACCGCGUGGGUCCCCCUUUGGCUUGUUCGGAAGGGGGCUUACGUUUUCACACAAACUUUGUAUGCAGUGUAGAAUGUAUUUUUUGUUUUUGCGAUCACGCAAUCAAUACAACUUUCAACAACGGAUCUCUUGGCUCUC